rnacentral:rRNA from 1 species
GACGUAGGGCGCGAGCGUUGUCCGGAUUUAUUGGGCGUAAAGAGCUCGUAGGCGGUUUGUCGCGUCUGCCGUGAAAGUCCGGGGCUCAACUCCGGAUCUGCGGUGGGUACGGGCAGACUAGAGUGAUGUAGGGGAGACUGGAAUUCCUGGUGUAGCGGUGAAAUGCGCAGAUAUCAGGAGGAACACCGGUGGCGAAGGCGGGUCUCUGGGCCGAUAUUGACGCUGAGGAGCGAAAGCGUGGGGAGCAAACAGG